rnacentral:rRNA from 1 species
AGCAGCCGCGGUAAUUCCAGCUCCAAUAGCGUAUAUUAAAGUUGUUGCAGUUAAAAAAGCUCGUAGUUGAAUUUCGGGAUCAGUACGCUGGUCGUGCCUUUGGUAUGUACUGGUGUCACUGAUUCCUCCCUUCUGAAGAACCGUUAUGCCAUUUAUUUGGUGUGGCGGGAAAUCAGGACUGUUACUUUGAAAAAAUUAGAGUGUUUAAAGCAGGCUCGCGCUUGAAUACAUUAGCAUGGGAUAAUGAAAUAGGACGUUUGAUCUUAUUUUGUUGGUUUCUAGGAUCGACGUAAUGAUUAAUAGGGAUAGUUGGGGGCAUUAGUAUUCAAUUGUCAGAGGUGAAAUUCUUGGAUUUAUUGAAGACUAACUACUGCGAAAGCAUUUGCCAAGGAUGUUUUCAUUAAUCAAGAACGAAAGUUAGGGGAUCGAAGACGAUCAGAUACCGUCGUAGUCUUAACCAUAAACUAUGCCGACUAGGGAUCGGAUGAUGUUAAUUUUUAAUGACUCAUUCGGCGUCCG